rnacentral:rRNA from 1 species
UACGAAGGGUGCAAGCGUUACUCGGAAUUACUGGGCGUAAAGCGUGCGUAGGCGGUUUGUUAAGUCUGUUGUGAAAGCCCCGGGCUCAACCUGGGAAUGGCAAUGGAAACUGGCGAGCUAGAGUACGGUAGAGGAGAGUGGAAUUCCCGGUGUAGCAGUGAAAUGCGUAGAGAUCGGGAGGAACAUCAGUUGCGAAGGCGGCUCUCUGGACCAGUACUGACGCUGAGGCGCGAAAGCGUGGGGAGCAAACAGG